UACGUAGGGGGCAAGCGUUGUCCGGAUUUAUUGGGCGUAAAGCGCUCGCAGGUGGUUCGUUGCGUCGUGCGUGAAAGACCCCGGCUCAACUGGGGGGUGUCGUGCGAUACGGGCGAACUGGAGGCCAGUAGGGGGAUGCGGAAUUCCGGGUGUAGUGGUGGAAUGCGUAGAGAUCCGGAGGAACACCAGCGGCGAAGGCGGCAUCCUGGACCAACACUGACGCUGAUGAGCGAAAGCCAGGGGAGCAAACGGG
rnacentral:rRNA from 1 species